UACGGGAAGGCAGCAGUGGGGAAUAUUGCACAAUGGGCGAAAGCCUGAUGCAGCUAUGCCGCGUGUAUGAAGAAGGCCUUAGGGUUGUAAAGUACUUUCAUCGGGGAGGAAAAAACAAAACUAAUAAUUUUAUUUCUUGACGUUACCCGAAAAAGAAGCACCGGCUAACUCCGUGCCAGCAGCCGCGGUAAUACGGAGGGUGCUAGCGUUAAUCAGAAUUACUGGGCGUAAAGAGCACGUAGGUGGUUUUUUUAAGUCAGAUGUGAAAUCCCUGGGCUUAACCUAGGAACUGCAUUUUGAAACUGAAAUACUAGAGUAUCGUAGAGGGAGGUAGAAUUCUAGGUGUAGCGGUGAAAUGCGUAGAUAUCUGGAGGAAUACCUGUGGCGAAAGCGGCCUCCUAAACGAAUACUGACACUGAGGUGCGAAAGCGUGGGGAGCGAAACAGGGAUUAGAUACC
rnacentral:rRNA from 1 species